CCUACGGGAGGCAGCAGUAGGGAAUAUUGGACAAUGGGCGCAAGCCUGAUCCAGCCAUCCCGCGUGAAGGAUUAAGGCCCUCUGGGUUGUAAACUUCUUUUCUCUGGGAAUAAAAACCGGUAUUCAUACUGGCUUGAAGGUACCAGAGGAAUAAGCACCGGCUAACUCCGUGCCAGCAGCCGCGGUAAUACGGAGGGUGCAAGCGUUAUCCGGAUUCACUGGGUUUAAAGGGUGCGUAGGUGGCUUUGUAAGUCAGUGGUGAAAUGCCGCAGCUCAACUGCGGAACUGCCAUUGAUACUGCUUAGCUUGAAUCACGUCGAGGUGGAUGGAAUAAUACAUGUAGCGGUGAAAUGCUUAGAUAUGUAUUAGAACACCGAUUGCGAAGGCAGUUCACUAGGCGUGUAUUGACACUGAGGCACGAAAGCGUGGGGAUCAAACAGGAUUAGAUACCCUGGUAGUCCACGCCCUAAACGAUGUAAACUCGACAUUAGCGAUAUACUGUUAGUGUCCAAGCGAAAGCGUUAAGUUUACCACCUGGGAAGUACGACCGCAAGGUUGAAACUCAAAUGAAUUGACGG
rnacentral:rRNA from 1 species